rnacentral:lncRNA from 1 species
UCACAGGGGUAUUUUCGUCAUUUUUCUUCGAUAAUAUCGAAACUCGCCAAAAACAUGGUGUAAAAGCUUAAUAUGUUCAUACAUAUUUUAAAUCAGAUAACUAAAGUAUAAAAUUACUUUUACAAUGACACAUGGGCCCCCAACUAACCAAUAAGAUGCUAGUCUGUGAACCUAUAAUUUUGACAAUGCAAGGCUAACUGAAGUCCUUGAUGCAAUCGGCUAUCUAUCGGCUAUCCCGAACCUGAAAUGUGGGGACUUGAGGGUGGUGAGAUUAUAAAAUCCCAGUGAGUAAACAGACACCAUCUAAAUUAUCUAAAGGCGAGUAAAUGGAGACAAUUAAAAAUAAUUAACUUCAGUAAAUUUUUCACAUCACGAAUAUUCAUUUCAACCAAAUAAUCAAUAUGGCUCGUGAAUUACUCAAAACUUGGCUCAUGCCAAAUCCUGUACUCGGGGACACCUGGACCAGGGGUAUCAAACCGAGUCCGCCAAGGCUAUUAAAAAUUCAUAUUUCGUGAAAAUCAUAUUUUUAUUUUGAAACAUAGCCGUUCCUUGGCGUUGGCUGAGUCUCACUCUCACGCUGUAGUCCACGUGAAGUGCACUCAAAAAGCCCACCUCAGGAGAUACCCUACGCGCCUCUACGACCGAGGUGAGAAUAUAAAAGAGUUUACCGUGCCCCUCUAAUAGGUUGGCCCACAGAAACCCCCACCACUGCAGUAGCUAAUCUUUUUUCUACCACCUGAUUUAUAAAAUCUUUUUCUGCAUGACAUGGCAAUUUAUCGCAACCUAGCCUCUCAAGGCUAAAUACACAGUACAAAUAAUUCUAACACCAAAAUCAGUUUAGCCAUUCAUGCUUAUAUAUUGUCAUAAGCCAGUCAAUUUAAAACCAUAAAUUUACAACACAAGCAGGCAGUCUCCAAUUGCUCUAUUUUCAAAACCAAUAUUCCAUUUUUCAAAAAAUUUAUAAAAUCACAAUUUCUCUUAAAACAUAGCAAUUUACCAUUUAAACCCAUUUUCCAUAAAAUCACACAAUUGUAUAAAACUACUCUAGAUAAUUAAGACGAUAAUAAGUUUACUCACAGUUUUCGAAAACUAAAUUCGGGUACUCCAACUAUUACUCCUCGGGUGCAAUUUCUUUACCCUU